UACGUAGGGGGGCAAGCGUUGUCCGGAUUUAUUGGGCGUAAAGAGCGUGUAGGCGGCCAGAUAGGUCAGCUGUGAAAACUCGAGGCUCAACCUCGAGAUGUCGGCUGAAACCAUCUGGCUAGAGUCCGGAAGAGGAGAAUGGAAUUCCCGGUGUAGCGGUGAAAUGCGCAGAUAUCAGGAAGAACACCUAUGGCGAAGGCAGCACUCUGGGACGGUACUGACGCUGAGGCGCGAAAGCUAGGGGAGCGAACGGG
rnacentral:rRNA from 1 species